rnacentral:lncRNA from 1 species
AUGCUUCUAAAAUCUUCAUCAUUUGUCUUCGGUAAGACUAGCUAUAAUCCUCCCUAUUCAGGAUUAACAACCUUUGAGUUAACAACUUGAACCUUGAUUGAUCUGGUUUCACGUUUUGUACGCCGCUUUGUAGAUUCCUAAGAAUUUUCUUGGACGGAUGAUAAGAUAGAGACCGAGGCAAAGUUGAGAGAUAAAACAUCUAAAUGAGAACCACUUUUGCAGAUUAACAACCUUUGAGUUAAAUAGCUUGAACCUUGAUUGAUCUGGUUUCACGUUUGUACGCCGCUUUGUAGAUUCCUAAGAAUAUUCUUCGACGGAUGAUAAGAUAGAGACCGAGGCAAACUUAUGUCGAAACAAUUACCGCCGGUUGUAAAUUGUUAACAUUAUGUUCAGCAGCACUUUGACUGACAUCCAGUGCGCUUGUUUGACUCACAUGAUUAUUUGAUUGAGCCUCCUAAUGAUCAUCAAAGAUUGGUUCAUCAUUGGAUGUUGACACAUCAUCGUCAUAAGUGGCAGUACUCACUUCAUGAUCUGAAUCAUCUGACUGGUCAAAACUUGGGCUUUCACCAUUUUGAUUAACCUGAGAAUUUGUUCCUGUUUUGGUGUGACAACAACCGGUCUAGUAAUUUGAUCUUGAGCUAAAUCUGUUGUUAAUAUAACAAUACAUGCUCUUCAAUUGUGGGCUCUGCAAGCAGAUUGAAUGAUUUCCACAGACUAUCAUAGUCAAACAUCCAUGGGUCACCUGACAUUUGUGUUGGAGUUGUGUACUUUUGACAAUCAACGUGUUGAGCUUGAACGAUCCGGUU